rnacentral:rRNA from 1 species
GUUGAACGCUGGCGGCGUGCCUAACACAUGCAAGUCGAACGGAGAUUACGGACGGAAGUCUUCGGAUGGAAGACUGUAAUUCUUAGUGGCGGACGGGUGAGUAACGCGUGGGCAACCUGCGCUAUACAGGGGGAUAGCAGCUGGAAACGGCUGGUAAGACCGCAUAAGGCGGCGAGACCGCAUGGUUUUGUCGGGAAAUGAGCAAUCAGGUAUAGGAUGGGCCGGGGUCCGAUUAGCCAGGUGGGAGGGUAAAAGCCUACCAAAGCAACGAUCGGUAGCCGGACUGAGAGGUCGGACGGCCACAUUGGGACUGAGACACGGCCCAAACUCCUACGGGAGGCAGCAGUGGGGGAUAUUGCACAAUGGAGGAAACUCUGAUGCAGCGACGCCGCGUGAGUGAAGAAGUAUUUCGGUAUGUAAAGCUCUAUCAGCAGGGAAGAUGAUGACGGUACCUGACUAAGAAGCCCCGGCUAACUACGUG